UCUCUCUCCCGAAUAGAAUAAUAAGGUCAUAAAUUAAAGGAUGAACACUUCCAAACGACUGGGGAUAGGGAAGCCGGUGUAGGGUGUUUCAAACAGAACCUCGGGCAAGCCAGGGGGAAAAAAAAAACACAAAAAAACCCGCUGCCCCAGAAGAGAAACCCGGAGCUGCUGGAAGUUGUGUGCACAGCGAAUUUCUGUUCCGCCUGGGAAGAUGGAAAGGAGCUAAAGAGGAAGGCAGGCCUCGUAGCAAGCAAGCUCAAUGAAAAAUGUAAUUCAGGAAGAGAUGCAAUCAAUGAGGCCAAAACGAAAGAGGAACUGGGCCUGCCUGUGUUCAGAGCAGCAACACCAAAGUCACCAUCCUCAAGUUCAAAACGAUGCAGGGAGAGGGUGGUUGAGGGGUUGCUGGAAAAUAUAUCACCUGCUGGACUUGCCAUUGAAAUUCACUAUCUUGUUUGCUGUUUAUCCUGAGGCUCCUGGAGCUCUCCCGCUGGUUAGGGAGAAAGGGGGCGGUGUAGGAAGAACUGUAGUAAUAAGAAAAGGAAGCUUAGGCGCCCCAGAGAGACUGGGAGGUGUAAAUAAUAUGGGGAUGGGUAUUUGACAGUGACCUCAGAGAAAGGAGAGACAGAACUCGCCCAAAAUCCUAAAAAUUUAGGGGUGUGUGGGGGGGGGGGGCGGUGAACCAGACAUAAGGAAAAUGUCCCAAAAGAAAAAGAUAACAAAAUCCCGGAACUUCUUCCUCUGUGAUGUUGUCUGAAGGAGUAAAUAUGCAGGUUGGCUUUGCCCAGGUCCUCAGGUGAGAAAAUGCUGUAUGCAAAAAACCGGCCAGAGGAUAUUGAGCCUUUGGAUAAGAUGGGCAAACUUGGGGCCACAGAUUUCCUUCAAAAAAGGGGGUGAGGUGGGGCAGAAGACACAUAAGCAGAGGCCGAGUGAUCCUUGUCCCCAAAGAGCCCAAAAGUAUUCGAUCACCUGCACGCUUCUCUGUCCCCCUCUCUCUUUUUUCCUUCCCUGGACCCUACCUUGAAUGGCACUGCUUAGGAGAGGAAAAAGGCAUUUUUAGCCAAAGGCUAUGAAGUAGGACCAAGUCAGAUUCGCUGGACAAUGGAACUCUCUUCCUGAGGCUGCCUGGCGCCGUGAAAUGGGACACUCCCUCAGUGUGUGACUUGGCAGUUUGCUUUCUCUACUAUAAGAAGAGAACAAUGCUAAUAACAGGUGCUAUUUAUAGAACCCUUGCAUGGAAUACUGUACGCACUCACCCAUUUUCUCCUCUGAACUGAAUGAGGUGGUAGAGCGAUGUCCAUUUUACAGAAUGGCCCCCCAGCCAGACCGCCCGCAAGAAAGUGGUAGAGACCGAAUACAAGUUAGGAUCAAGUGUUGGCAGUGCCAGUCCAGUGGCCAAAUCGGGCUCAACGACUGCUUCUUCCGUAAGUAUUGUUUGGUUGGAAUGCAGUCAUGCUCAUUUGGUUAUACAGGGUCCAGCAGAAGUAAGGCCUGCUUGAGUGUGGUUGGUAGGGGGAUAAUAUGGGUGUAAUAAUGUAUAGUUUUAAUUUGAACAUUUCACCGAAAAUGUCAUAGGGUGUGCCUGAGUGUGAUGUUGCUCUGUUACAGAUUGCAUGCUCAUGAUUUUGUAAUAAAAGAUUUUGUAAUAAACAGGGGCGUUACUGGUGCCGGACCCUG